GAUGAAGAACGCAGCGAAAUGCGAUAAGUAAUGUGAAUUGCAGAAUUCAGUGAAUCAUCGAAUCUUUGAACGCACCUUGCGCCCUUUGGCCAUUCCGAAGGGCAUGCCUGUUUGAGUAUCAUGAACACCUCAACUCUUUAUGGUUUUCCAUGAUGAGCUUGGACUCUGGGGGUUUUGUUGGCUCACAGUCGGCUCCUCUAAAAUGAAUCAGCUUACCAGUGUUUGGUGGGUAUCAUGGGUGUGAUAACUAUCUACGCUUGUGGUUUUUCCACCAGGUAACCUUCAGCAGUGGAGGUUCGCUGGAGCUCAUAGAUGUCUCUCCUCAGUGAGGACAGCCCUUUGAAUGUUUGAUCUCAAAUCAGGUAGGACUACCCGCUGAACUUAAGCAUAUCAAUAAGCGGAGGA
rnacentral:misc_RNA from 1 species